GCUAGCAUAGCGUAGUGGUUUGAGUGUUUGACUACAACUCUGGAGACCAGGGUUCAAAUCCCUGCUUUGUCA